UCACCUUUGCUGAAGAUUAUCAAACUCAGCUCACUCGGAUGGAUUUGAUACACAACAUAAAAAUGGUCAUAACUUUCUGUUCACAGCUCGGAAUUGAUAUCUGAAGAUUGAUCUGGAAAGCUGGGUCGAAGAUCUUCACGCCGGUAUAUAGAUCGUCUUCUGGAUCUUCCUAGAUCGCCGGAAAAACGCAUCUCAAGUUAGCUGCUCGCGGAUUGGAUUCUGCACAGAUAUGCCUCGGGAAAACACCUAUAACUUUCAAACCAUAACUCCAAAUAAUGAACGGCUUUCGGUUAUAUCUAGAUCUAAGGGUCAGGAACAUUCUCACCAAUUUUCAGGUCGAUCGGACUUCAAAUAAGUCGUCCACAGUCCUUUGAAGUUG
rnacentral:lncRNA from 1 species